rnacentral:rRNA from 1 species
UACAGAGGGGGCAAGCGUUAUUCGGAAUUAUUGGGCGUAAAGAGCUCGUAGGCGGUCUGUCGCGUCGGUCGUGAAAACUUGGGGCUUAACCCUGAGCUUGCGGUCGAUACGGGCAUGACUGGAGUUCGGCAGGGGAGACUGGAAUUCCUGGUGUAGCGGUGAAAUGCGCAGAUAUCAGGAGGAACACCGGUGGCGAAGGCGGGUCUCUGGGCCGAUACUGACGCUGAGGAGCGAAAGCGUGGGGAGCGAACAGG